GCGAACGCUGGCGGCAGGCUUAACACAUGCACGUCGAGCGCCCCGCAAGGGGAGCGGCAGACGGGAGAGUAACACGUGGGAACAUACCUUUUGGUUCGGAACAACUGAGGGAAACUUCAGCUAAUACCGGAUAAGCCCUUACGGGGAAAGAUUUAUCGCCGAAAGAUUGGCCCGCGUCUGAUUAGCUAGUUGGUGAGGUAACGGCUCACCAAGGCGACGAUCAGUAGCUGGUCUGAGAGGAUGAUCAGCCUCACUGGGACUGAGACACGGCCCAGACUCCUACGGGAGGCAGCAGUGGGGAAUAUUGGACAAUGGGGGCAACCCUGAUCCAGCCAUGCCGCGUGAGUGAUGAAGGCCUUAGGGUUGUAAAGCUCUUUUGCCCGGGAAGAUAAUGACGGUACCGGGAGAAUAAGCCCCGGCUAACUUCGUG
rnacentral:rRNA from 1 species